AGGCCUGGUGUUGGCCUGUGUAUUACUUCUUCUUGCAAUGGUUAUCCUCGUCAUCGCCGCAAGAACCUGGAUGCUCUUCAAGCAAGAUUCAGGAGACAUCCAUCAUCGAGUCCCAUCGACGACGCCAAAUGUCAUACAUGGCACAUCCAAUACAACGCAGGAUACGACGACG